AGUGGGGAAUCUUGCGCAAUGGGCGAAAGCCUGACGCAGCCAUGCCGCGUGAAUGAUGAAGGUCUUAGGAUUGUAAAAUUCUUUCACCGGGGACGAUAAUGACGGUACCCGGAGAAGAAGCCCCGGCUAACUUCGUGCCAGCAGCCGCGGUAAUACGAAGGGGGCUAGCGUUGCUCGGAAUUACUGGGCGUAAAGGGCGCGUAGGCGGAUCGUUAAGUCAGAGGUGAAAUCCCAGGGCUCAACCCUGGAACUGCCUUUGAUACUGGCGAUCUUGAGUAUGAGAGAGGUAUGUGGAACUCCGAGUGUAGAGGUGAAAUUCGUAGAUAUUCGGAAGAACACCAGUGGCGAAGGCGACAUACUGGCUCAUUACUGACGCUGAGGCGCGAAAGCGUGGGGAGCAAA
rnacentral:rRNA from 1 species